CCCAGACUCCUACGGGAGGCAGCAGUGGGGAAUAUUGCACAAUGGGGGAAACCCUGAUGCAGCGACGCCGCGUGAGUGAAGAAGUAUUUCGGUAUGUAAAGCUCUAUCAGCAGGGAAGAAAAUGACGGUACCUGACUAAGAAGCCCCGGCUAACUACGUGCCAGCAGCCGCGGUAAUACGUAGGGGGCAAGCGUUAUCCGGAAUUACUGGGUGUAAAGGGAGCGCAGACGGCAGUGCAAGUCUGGAGUGAAAGCCCGUGGCUUAACUACGGGACUGCUCUGGAAACUGUGCAGCUAGAGUGCAGGAGAGGCAGGCGGAAUUCCUAGUGUAGCAGUGAAAUGCGUAGAUAUUAGGAGGAACACCAGUGGCGAAGGCGGCUUACUGGACUGUAACUGACGUUGAGGCUCGAAAGCGUGGGGAGCAAACAGGAUUAGAUACCCCGGUACCU
rnacentral:rRNA from 1 species